rnacentral:lncRNA from 13 species
GUUGUCCAUGGAUAUACCGUAUUGUAUAAUGUUCCGGAAAAGUUUCCGUCUUUCUUCAGUUACAUUCAGCAGAAAAAACACACAUCUGUAAUUGCCGUAUCAGGCCUGCAUAGUUAGUUACCUCUUCCCCUUGACUUAACAAAAUGACAUCAUUUUGGAAUCUAUGAGAAUAUCUGGCAGACUGUCCCAUUUAUUUUCCUUUGGUGGGGUGGGAUGGGGGGUGGACCCCCAACUCUCUCUCAAUUUCCUUCUCUCUCCAUCUCUCUCUCUUUACAUCCUCCACCACUCUGUCUUUUUUGGGAGGGGUGGGAUAGGGGGUGGACUCACCCGACUCUCUCUCCCUCUUCAUCUCUCUCUCUCUCCUCUUCAUCUCUUUCUUUUUCUCCACCUCUUUCUCAAUUAACCCCCCCCUCUCUCUCUUUUAGGCAACCAUGUUUUUAUGGCAGGAGUCAACCAAAUAAAAGCAGCCCCACCAGUCUGUGGGGGAGAAAAGCCGCUGGUUCAAUGAAGUGAUCUAUUCAACUCAGUGUUUCUCUCUCUUGCUCUCUUCAUUAAUUACAUACUGUUGUGCCUUUUCAUCCUUUCCGUCUUUUGUUUUCUGUCUCUCUUACUUUUUAUUCCCCUCCUUCUUUCUCUGGCUGGCUGAGCUCUGACAAGGGGAUAGAAUCAAGAGUUUGGGAGAGGAGAGGGACAUUUGGGAGCGAGAUGGCGAGUGGGACGGUGGGGUUGUUCCUGUAUGGAUUCCUGCUCCUGUCUCUGUGGAAACCUUCACUGCAAGGAGGUGUGUACAUACCUGCUGGUGUAGGUGAAGGAGCUGGGACUGGAUUAGGAGCUGGAGCAGGAGUCAGAGCUGGAUUUGGUCCAGGUGGAGCUGGCACCGGUUUUGGGCCUGGUGGUGUAGGCACUGGAUAUGGGCCAGGUGGCGGAGCCGGAGUUGGACCAGGAGUUGGACCAGGAGGUGUAGGUGGAGCUGGCGCUGGUCCAGGUGGUGCAGGCUUUGGCCCUGGAGCCGGUGGAGGUUACACCAAGCCAGGGAAGACGGGAGCUGGCUAUGGUGGUCAGGUUGUAGGCCAAGGCCAAGGAGGACUGGGGACUGGAGGUCUGGGGGAAGGAAGAGUUAGACCAGAAGGAGCUGGGGCCGGACCAGGAGGUUAUGGACAUGGCGGUGGUUUAGGAGCUGGAGGCCUUGGAGCAGGAGCUGGCAAUGGAGGUUGGGGUCCUGGAGGACAGGGGGCUGGACUAGGAGCUGGAGGUCUGGGAGGAGGAGGUCUUAGACCAGGAGCCAGACCAGGAGGUUAUGGACCAGGUGGUUAUGGGCCUGGAGCUGGUCUUAGUCUGGGCGGAGCUGUAGCUGGAGGUCUUGGUGGUGGUUACGGACUUGGCGGGGGUCUAGGUGCCGGAGGCCUUGGAGCAGGAGCUGGAGGAAAGCCAGAGAAGGCAGGAGCUGGCUACGGUGGUAGAGAUCCAGGAGGACAGGGGGCUGGACUGGGUGUUGGAGGUUUUGGACCAGGUGGCUAUGGACCAGGUGGAGCUGGUGCCGGACCAGGUGGCUAUGGGCUUGGUGUUGGUCUUGGUCCUGGGGGAGCUGGUCCUGGAGUUUUUGGUGGUGGUUAUGGACCCGAUGGAACAGGAGCUGGCUAUGUAGGUCGCAGUCCUGGGGGACAGGGGGCUGGAUUAGGAGCUGGAGGCUAUGGACCAGGUGGAGCUGGACCAGGAGGAUAUGGGCCUGGUUCUGGUGUUGGCCAGGGUGGAGCUGGUCCAGGUGGUUUUGGUGGUGGUCUUGGAGCUGGCGGACAAGGAGACACCCUUGGAGCUGGGUAUGGAGGCCUCGGAGCUGGGGGACUGGGAUCCAGAGGUACAGGUCAGGGGGCUGGAGGACUUGGAGCAGGCCAAGGUCUUGGAGCCGGCCAAGGAGAUGGAUACAGACCUGGAGGAGGCUACGGUGGUGCUGCUGGUGGUCUGUACCCUGGAGCUGGAGGGGCGGGGGCAGGCCAGAAACCUCCCAAAACAGGAGCAGGAAGCACACUAGGAGGAGAUGGAUAUGGGCCUGGUGGUGCUGGUGGAUAUGGGCCUGGUGGUGCUGGUGGAUAUGGGCCUGGUGGCGCAGGUGGACAUGGGCCUGGUGGCACAGGUGGACAUGGGCCUGGUGGCGUAGGUGGACAUGGGCCUGGUGGCGUAGGUGGACAUGGGCCUGGUGGCGCAGGAACGGGACCUAGUGGCACAGGUGCAUAUGGUGCUGGUGGCGCAGGAACUGGCCCUAGUGGCGCAGGUGGAGUUGGCCUUGGUGGUUUUGGGCCUGGUGGCGCAGCAGUACCAGCUGGAGCACCAGUACUUCCACAGACUGGAGUCCCUGGGGGUGGAGCUAGAGAGAAGAGCGGUUGGAAGGCCAACAAACAAGUGCCAGGUGUUGGAGUACCUGGACUUUAUCAAGGUGGAAUAGUGCCUAGUCAAGGUUUCGGAGGGCGUGGGGUUCUACCAGGUGUUGCCACUGGAUCCGGACUUGCUCCCCAGACAGGGGCAGGUGUGCUGGGCCAGGGUGGAGUUGGAGCUGGCACUGGAGCUGGAGGGGCUGGAGGCAAAUCGGCUAAUUCCCAGGCCAAGCUUGCUGCUAAAUAUGCUGGAGGUGUACUUCAUCAAGGGGGCAUGGCCGGAGCAGGAGGCGUACCUAGCGGCGUACCUGGAGCAGAUGGGGUCCCUGGUUAUGGAGUUGGAGCUGGUGGUGUACCUGGUUACGGAGGUGGAGCAGGAGGCAUACCUGGAUUCGGAGGCGUAGCCAGAGCAGGAGGCGUACCUGGUUACGGGGGCGGAGCCGGACCAGGAGGCGUACCUGGGGCAGGGGGCGUCCCUGGCUCAGGUGGGUAUGGAUACCCAGGGGGUUACCCAGGUGGAGGGCGGUACCCUGGGGCUGGCCUAGGUGUAGGAGGUGCCUACCCCGGAGAAGCUGGAUCUAAGGCAGCCAAAUAUGGUCAGGGUGGAGCAGGCACUGGAGCUGGUGGUGGGCUCAGCCAGGGAGUGCCUGCAUCUGGGAUUGGAACCGGAAGACUGCCUGGUGGGGCUGGAGGGGAACCAGGAGGCGGUUACAGGCCUGGCGGUAGCUUCGGUCCUGGAGGUGGAGUUGGACCAGGUGGGGCCAGUUAUGGACCAGGUGGGGCCGGCUAUGGACCAGGUGGAGCUGGACCUGGUGGCUAUGGACCAGGUAGUGCUGGAAGUUUUGGAACAGGUGGAGGGGUUGGACCAGGUGGUGCCGGGGAAGGACAUGGUGGAGCUGGCUAUGGACCAGGUGGAGGAGUUGGUGGAGUGCCUGGUGGUGGACACAGACCUGGAGGUGGUUUACCUGGUAGUGGUGCUGGUUACGGACCUGGUGCUGGUGUUGGAGGAUAUGAUGCAAAUGCCAAAGCUCGUAAAUAUGGUAUGCUAAGUGGUGUCCUUGGGACCCCAGGAGGAGGACAGGCAGCCAGCCUGGGAGGAGUACCAGGAGGGGGAGCAGGGACUGGAGUAGGCCAGGGUGGAGUGCCUGGAUCUGGGCUUGGUGGUGGUGGAGGUGUCCCCGGUGGUUAUGGUCCUGGAGCUGGAUUUGGACCUGGUGGUGGAACUGUUGGUGGUUAUGGACCAGGAGGGGGUGCUGGGACUGGACUUGGCCAGGGAGGAGUUGGGUCCGUACCAGAUGGCUAUGGGACUGGGCCUGGUGGUUAUGGACCAGGUGGAGCCGGACAGGGUGCAGUGAAGCCAAACAAAUCAGGUUAUGGCUCCUCCUCCUCGGGUGGAGCUCUCUUUGGACCAGGUGCUGGAGCAGGUGGGGUAUCUGGUGCUGGAGCUACCGGGCGAAGAGGAGGAGUACCAGGAGGCUACGGAGUAGGAGAAGCGGGACAGUCAGGGCAGAAAUCAAAGGCACAGAAGGCAGCCAAAUACACAGCCAUGCAAGGCUUCCUGGGAGCACGCAGCUACAGAGGGGUCGCCGACUGCCAGGGUAUAUACUGCGGACGGAGGAGGAAGUGA